UACGGAGGGUGCAAGCGUUAUCCGGAUUCACUGGGUUUAAAGGGUGCGUAGGUGGGUUGGUAAGUCAGUGGUGAAAUCUCCAAGCUUAACUUGGAAACUGCCGUUGAUACUAUCAAUCUUGAAUCUCGUGGAGGUAAGCGGAAUAUGUCAUGUAGCGGUGAAAUGCUUAGAUAUGACAUAGAACACCGAUAGCGAAGGCAGCUUGCUACACGAGUAUUGACACUGAGGCACGAAAGCGUGGGGAUCAAGCAGG
rnacentral:rRNA from 1 species